rnacentral:piRNA from 1 species
CCAACAGUGACAUGUAUCUCAGC